CGCAAAGCGCCAAAAAAGACAACAGAAAAUAAAUUCAGCUACACUAAGUAAUAAACAUGCAAGCAGACAAACCUAGAAGAAAGAAGACGAGGGGAAAAAUAAAAGAUGAUUUAGCUCCUCAUAAGGGCUCUUUUAACUUUGACCUCGUGCCUCAUGUCUAUCAUUGGAGGGAGCUACAGUUGGUACAUUUUGUUGUUUUACAAUUAUAAAACCAUGUGGGAUUUAAAUAAACACUCUGCUAUUGAAAUUUGUAUAUGUUAUUUAUUGUAAUGGCCUUGAAAGCAGAAGCACAUGGACUGAGGAUUCGACGUUCUUCUUCGGUAAAUGCAAGAAUUCAAUCGCAUAUCUGGGGAAGAUCUGAGUUCUAUGCAGCGUUGGACACGCAUUCUGCAAGUUUCACUGAAAAUUAUAUGAGAAAAGGAGGAAAUCAGGGAAGAACACUUGAUGAAAUUAUGCAUCAUGUUGACUCAAGUGAUCUGAUGUAACAUGUUUGCACUGCAGUACCUCAGGGUCUUCCAAUCCUCACUGCGGUCAAGCCAGCCGCCACGUCGAAAUGAGCAGUCAAACUAGCCGCCCCUGUAUUUCGUGGUGCGCGUAUACACUGGCUAUUGCGGUAUGACCGUCAGAACUAAAAACAGACCAAUUUCACCUCAG